rnacentral:tRNA from 1 species
AAGAUUUUAAGUUAAAAUAAACUAUUAGCCUUCAAAGUUAAAAAUAUAUACAUCUAAGAUAAAUCUUA